UGGUUAGUGGCGGACGGGUGAGUAACACGUGGGUAAUUAACCUUCUAGACUGGGAUAACAACGGGAAACUGGUGCUAAUACCAGAUAAGAUUCAUUAGUGGCAUCACUGAUGGAUGAAAAGAGGCCUCUCCAUGGAAGCUCCUGCUAGAAGACAAGCCCGCGGCUGAUUAGCUAGUUGGUGAGGUAAUGGCUCACCAAGGCAACGAUCAGUAGCCGGCCUGAGAGGGUGAACGGCCACACUGGGACUGAGACACGGCCCAGACUCCUACGGGAGGCAGCAGUGGGGAAUAUUGCGCAAUGGAGGAAACUCUGACGCAGCAACGCCGCGUGAAUGAAGAAGGCUUUCGGGUUGUAAAGUUCUGUCAAUUGGGAAGAAACCUUCAGUGUAAAUAGCGCUGAAGAUGACGGUACCAGUGAAGGAAGCUCCGGCUAACUACGUGCCAGCAGCCGCGGUAAUACGUAGGGAGCAAGCGUUAUCCGGAAUUAUUGGGCGUAAAGGGCGUGUAGGCGGCCAAUUAAGCUAGGUGUAAAAUGUUACAGCUCAACUGUAAAACCGCAUCUAGAACUGGUUGGCUGGAGGAUGAGAGAGGAAAGUGGGAUUCCUAGUGUAGCGGUGGAAUGCGUAGAUAUUAGGAGGAACACCAGUGGCGAAGGCGGCUUUCUGGCUCAUACCUGACGCUGAGGCGCGAAAGCGUGGGGAGCAAACAG
rnacentral:rRNA from 1 species